rnacentral:rRNA from 1 species
CAGUAGCCACGGUAAUACGGAGGGGGCUAGCGUUGUUCGGAAUUACUGGGCGUAAAGCGCACGUAGGCGGCUUGGUAAGUCAGAUGUGAAAUCCCGGGGCUCAACCCCGGAACUGCAUCCGAUACUGCCAUGCUAGAGGAUUGGAGAGGUAGCUGGAAUUCUUGGUGUAGCAGUGAAAUGCGUGGAGAUCAAGAGGAACACUCGUGGCGAAAGCGAGCUACUGGACAAUAACUGACGCUGAGGCUCGAAGGCCAGGGUAGCGAAAGGGAUUAGAUACCCCUGUAGUCCCUGUCUCUUAUAC